ensembl:lncRNA
GUUAUUUCUCAGGGUGUUUGGGAACAGAAGGUAUUGCCACACUUGGAACAUCCUGCUGAAGUCUUCGUUUACCCUACAGAUUACAAAAUGCAACAGCUGCUAAGGACUCCGGAAAAGUUGAUAAAUAUUUUUUCCACAGCUGCAGAAGCGUGAAAACUCCCCAGCUGUGGACAGCGUGUACACAAGAAUCAACAACUCUAAAGGGGAAAGGGUUCAAAUCAUUGCAUUGUGUGAAGCUGAUAUUUUGCCCCUGUGACGGGUGGAAGAUUUUUCCUCGUCUCAUUACCUCCCAGGAAUCUUUGAAAUAUGCUACACAGGUUAAAAGGUGAGGCGUCAUGUGUCAGGCUAAAAGAGGACACGCCAAGUUUUACCAAAAUAUCUGUCAGGUGUGAUCCAGUUUUAGUUUAAUGUCCCUGAUGCAUGUAAAACCUUUUUCUUUUUUUUUCUUUAGCUAAAAAGUAAAUUUUAACUAAAGAAAAGUCCUUUGGCUGUAGAGCCAGCAGAGCAAAGAGACUCUUGACACUGAGCAAGUGAAAUAUUUACUCAGGACACUAAAAAAAAAAAAAAAAAUUUCUAUGGUACAAGAAUGUUUUUAAGCAUUAAUGUUAGAUAUGCACCCACAAUAUCCCAGCUGUUUCACAUAAUAUGCACGUCUAUCUCUUUGGCAGGAGGAGGUUCUGAAAUGUUUGCCCACUCGUGUUAGAGGUCUCAAGUUGAAAUGCCAGUAGAUCUUUAUGCUUUGCACUCCACCCACACAGUUGCUGUGCUCGCAUAAAACGUUUCUGCAAAGUAAAUUGACAUUUUCACUAAAAAAGAAACCAAAAAUAUCAAGAAUAAGAGUAAGUGCCAGAUACCAAAGUCUCCUCUAUAUUUGCUGCAUUUUCUUGAGGAUUAUGUUUAACCAGCACCUCAAUAGUAAUCAUCUUGCCCCACCUAGUGGUCAUGCUGAACAUGUCAGGUGCUGCAGAGUGAGGAGGGUCACAUUCAGGCACAUUCUGGUGUAAUAGUGAGCUCCCCCCCCCAUUUUCUCUAUGUGCUACAAAGCUUUUAAAAAUAGCAGUAGAUUUUACAGUGUUUUUCAUUUUUUUUAUAAAAAAAAAAAAAAAAAGGAAAAAGUCCAAUAAAUGAAUAAAACAAGAAAUACCCACAUGCAAACGUCCUUUAUGAAAGCCAUUGGGACAUAAAUCACUGUUAUUUGUGUGAAUUUGUUUGCAUCUGCUUGACGAUAAUCUGGCUGCGGAGAGUAGCCUGGCCCCUCGGUGCAGUAACCAGCCAGGCCCUGCACACUUUUACCACGCAGGGACAGAUUCCAGUUACUGAGCCUGGGGGACAGAUGAAAAAUUCACCCCUGGUACCUGUGGAAGAAAUUUGUUUUACUGAUACGACUGAUUAUGCACAGAUGUUCUAAAAAGCUGAGAACAUUUUAAAUCCAAACCUGAAGUUGUCCAGCUUAUGUGUUCCUUAACAGUGGAAGUCCUUGUGAACAAGGGUCAGCGCACUAGUAAGUCAGAUAAAUGGACUGGACUGUAACAGCCGGGCUAUACAUUACCCUCCUCCAAGUCCUCUGUUAAGACUGGCUCCACCAAAAUUACACAUUAACCCAAGAGCAUUUCUCUGCCCUGCAACUUCUUUGGGUCCCAUUGAACCCAGAUGCAAAGGACACAGCAGGGUGUUAACGGGGAGCAAAAUUCAAGCGUUUUAUUGCUUGAUGCAAAAGACAAAUGCAAAGUCUACAAAGUAACAGCAUGUGAAACAUGCACAGGGUUGAUUGAAUAAGACGAUACAGUUGGAAUCAGCUGACAACACUUAGGAACAGGUGAAAACAAUCACAGCACCGUGAACAAGACAGGAAAUGAAAACAAGAGCAAAUGUGAAAAGCAACAAAAAAAAAAAAAAAGUAGGAUCAGCAAGUAACAAAGAGAAACACCUGCUAUCACAUAAGAAGACACAGAAAAACACAAAAACCAACACUAAACAUGAUUACACAAUCUGGUGCAGACAAGCCAACAGAACACCAGGACUAUAGUAAAUAAAUAAACAGUCACUGUGGAUGGGGGCAAACUUUAACAAUUGCUCAAGUAUCUGAAAACCAUCUGUUAUGUCAUUUGUAGUUGUCCACACUUUCAGUGCACAUGUACACAAAAAUAAAGACAUGUUUCAUAUGGACACACUUUAAUAUAUUUUCCUCUACCGGUAUUAAUUCUCUCAUUAAGACUGUGACUGUGUAAGAAGUCCGAACUUUACCACCAAGCUAAGUAAGUAAACAACAGAGACACAGCUAUCCAUGGGAAGCAGCCAGCUGCCUACCUGACCUUGUGGAUGUCACUGAAUGUUGGAUCAAACACUGAAAGCUGCGGUCAGCCCGGAGCCAGAUGGUUAUUUUCCCAACAAGAAAGCAAAUAUCUUGCAGCUGAAGCUCUCCGUUUAAUUGCGUUUCUGCUAUAGACUCAUUCGUUUUGGGGUUCUAUAGUAUACACAUAUAAGCUUCAAGAAAAUGGUGUAAUCAUUUAAACAGAGCGUGUUAAGAUGUUUGACAUGUUUUUCAACACAACUCCAGUCUUUCUCAGGCAAAUCUGCACGAGUGUAUGGCAAGAAACAUGCCAUGCUCACGUAAUCUUAACAGAGUUUAAUUCAGCUAUUUGUUUACAAUCAGUCUAUCCACGUUUCACAGGAGAGUCAGCU